AACGAACGCUGGCGGCAGGCUUAACACAUGCAAGUCGAACGCCCCGCAAGGGGAGUGGCAGACGGGUGAGUAACGCGUGGGAACGUGCCCUUCGCUUCAGGAUGGCCCCGGGAAACCGGGAGUAAUACUGGAUACGCCGAAUUGGGAAAGAUUUAUCGGCGAAGGAUCGGCCCGCGUUAGAUUAGGUAGUUGGCGGUGUAAUGGACCACCAAGCCUACGAUCUAUAGCUGGUCUGAGAGGAUGAUCAGCCACACUGGGACUGAGACACGGCCCAGACUCCUACGGGAGGCAGCAGUGGGGAAUCUUGGACAAUGGGCGCAAGCCUGAUCCAGCCAUGCCGCGUGAGUGAAGAAGGCCUUAGGGUUGUAAAACUCUUUCGCCGGAGAAGAUAAUGACGGUAUCCGGAGAGGAAGCCCCGGCUAACUUCGUGCCAGCCGCCGCAGUAACAC
rnacentral:rRNA from 1 species